UCAUGGGUGGCACGAACCGAAUGGUACA
rnacentral:sRNA from 1 species